rnacentral:rRNA from 1 species
UUAUGGCCAUACCACCCUGAAGGCACCCAGUCUCAUCUGAUUUCGAAGCUAAGCAGGGUCAUACUUGGUUAGUACUUGGAUGGGAAAUAUUUAUGAUAGUGGAAGUUAAGUUUACACAGAAC